rnacentral:rRNA from 1 species
GUGUGGGGGACAUUCCACGUUUUCCGCGCCGUAGCUAACGCAUUAAGUGCCCCGCCUGGGGAGUACGGCCGCAAGGCUAAAACUCAAAGAAAUUGACGGGGGCCCGCACAAGCGGCGGAGCAUGCGGAUUAAUUCGAUGCAACGCGAAGAACCUUACCAAGGCUUGACAUAUACUGGACCGCAUCAGAGAUGGUGUUUCCCUUCGGGGCUGGUAUACAGGUGGUGCAUGGUUGUCGUCAGCUCGUGUCGUGAGAUGUUGGGUUAAGUCCCGCAACGAGCGCAACCCUCGUUCUAUGUUGCCAGCACGUUAUGGUGGGGACUCAUAGGAGACUGCCGGGGUCAACUCGGAGGAAGGUGGGGAUGACGUCAAAUCAUCAUGCCCCUUAUGUCUUGGGCUUCACGCAUGCUACAAUGGCCGGUACAGAGGGUUGCGAUACUGUGAGGUGGAGCUAAUCCCUAAAAGCCGGUCUCAGUUCGGAUUGGGGUCUGCAACUCGACCCCAUGAAGUCGGAGUCGCUAGUAAUCGCAGAUCAGCAACGCUGCGGUGAAUACGUUCCCGGGCCUUGUACACACCGCC